rnacentral:rRNA from 1 species
AUGGCUGAUAAACUGGAGGAAGCUCUGAAGAAGAAGGAUCAAGACCUUGCAGAGGCGCUGAAGGAGGCCUCGAGCAAAACGAAGCUCGCAGAAGAGAAGCUGGCUUCGGUCGGGACUCUUGAAGAGGAGAACUCCAGACUGAAAGCUGCUCUUGAGACAGCUAAUCGAGAUGCCAGUCGACUGAAGAAGGAGAAGAUGGCUCUGCACGACAAGGCGGGCGAGCUGGCGGGGAAGGCAAAAGAUCUGGAGGCUUAUCUCGAAGGGCUCGCCAAGAAGCUGUUCGUCAUGCUCGAAGAAUUCUGCCAGAACUUCGAAGAGGAAACCGGUCGAGUGGAGCCAAGCUUGGAUCCCGCCAAUUCUCUCGUGAAGGACGAGGCUGCCAUGAACAUGCUCUGA